rnacentral:rRNA from 1 species
GAUGAACGCUGGCGGCGUGCCUAAUACAUGCAAGUCGAGCGAACGGACGAGAAGCUUGCUUCUCUGAUGUUAGCGGCGGACGGGUGAGUAACACGUGGAUAACCUACCUAUAAGACUGGGAUAACUUCGGGAAACCGGAGCUAAUACCGGAUAAUAUUUUGAACCGCAUGGUUCAAAAGUGAAAGACGGUCUUGCUGUCACUUAUAGAUGGAUCCGCGCUGCAUUAGCUAGUUGGUAAGGUAACGGCUUACCAAGGCAACGAUGCAUAGCCGACCUGAGAGGGUGAUCGGCCACACUGGAACUGAGACACGGUCCAGACUCCUACGGGAGGCAGCAGUAGGGAAUCUUCCGCAAUGGGCGAAAGCCUGACGGAGCAACGCCGCGUGAGUGAUGAAGGUCUUCGGAUCGUAAAACUCUGUUAUUAGGGAAGAACAUAUGUGUAAGUAACUGUGCACAUCUUGACGGUACCUAAUCAGAAAGCCACGGCUAACUACGUGCCAGCAGCCGCGGUAAUACGUAGGUGGCAAGCGUUAUCCGGAAUUAUUGGGCGUAAAGCGCGCGUACGCGGUUUUUUAGUCUGAUGUGAAAGCCCACGGCUCACCUUUGGAGGGUCAUUGGAAACUGGAAAACUUGAGUGCAGAAGAGGAAAGUGGAAUUCCAUGUGUAGCGGUGAAAUGCGCAGAGAUAUGGAGGAACACCAGUGGCGAAGGCGACUUUCUGGUCUGUAACUGACGCUGAUGUGCGAAAGCGUGGGGAUCAAACAGGAUUAGAUACCCUGGUAGUCCACGCCGUAAACGAUGAGUGCUAAGUGUUAGGGGGUUUCCGCCCCUUAGUGCUGCAGCUAACGCAUUAAGCACUCCGCCUGGGGAGUACGACCGCAAGGUUGAAACUCAAAGGAAUUGACGGGGACCCGCACAAGCGGUGGAGCAUGUGGUUUAAUUCGAAGCAACGCGAAGAACCUUACCAAAUCUUGACAUCCUUUGACAACUCUAGAGAUAGAGCUUUCCCCUUCGGGGGACAAAGUGACAGGUGGUGCAUGGUUGUCGUCAGCUCGUGUCGUGAGAUGUUGGGUUAAGUCCCGCAACGAGCGCAACCCUUAAGCUUAGUUGCCAUCAUUAAGUUGGGCACUCUAAGUUGACUGCCGGUGACAAACCGGAGGAAGGUGGGGAUGACGUCAAAUCAUCAUGCCCCUUAUGAUUUGGGCUACACACGUGCUACAAUGGACAAUACAAAGGGCAGCGAAACCGCGAGGUCAAGCAAAUCCCAUAAAGUUGUUCUCAGUUCGGAUUGUAGUCUGCAACUCGACUACAUGAAGCUGGAAUCGCUAGUAAUCGUAGAUCAGCAUGCUACGGUGAAUACGUUCCCGGGUCU